GCCUUUACUGACGCUAAAGCUCGAAGGUGCGGGUAUCGAACAGGAUUAGAUACCCUGGUAGUCCGCACGGUAAACGAUGGAUGCCCGCUGUUUGCGAUAUAGUGUGAGCGGCCAAGAGAAAUCGUUAAGCAUCCCACCUGGGGAGUACGCCGGCAACGGUGAAACUCAAAGGAAUUGACGGGGGCCCGCACAAGCGGAGGAACAUGUGGUUUAAUUCGAUGAUACGCGAGGAACCUUACCCGGGCUUGAACUGCAGGGGAACGAUCCAGAGAUGGUGAGGUCAGCAAUGACCCCUGUGGAGGUGCUGCAUGGUUGUCGUCAGCUCGUGCCGUGAGGUGUCGGCUUAAGUGCCAUAACGAGCGCAACCCCUUUCAUUAGUUGCCAUCACUUCGGGUGGGCACUCUGGUGAUACUGCCACCGUAAGGUGUGAGGAAGGUGGGGAUGACGUCAAAUCAGCACGGCCCUUACGUCCGGGGCUACACACGUGUUACAAUGGGUGAUACAGAGGGCCGGUGCAUGGCAAUGUGCAUCAAAUCUUAAAAGUCAUCCUCAGUUCGGAUUGGGGUCUGCAACCCGACCCCAUGAAGCUGGAUUCGCUAGU
rnacentral:rRNA from 1 species